GAUGAACGCUAGCUACAGGCUUGACACAUGCAAGUCGAGGGGAAACGAUAGAGAAAGCUUGCUUUUUCUAGGCGUCGACCGGCGCACGGGUGAGUAACGCGUAUCCAACCUGCCCAUCACUUGGGGAUAACCUUGCGAAAGUAAGACUAAUACCCAAUGACGUCCAUAGAAGACAUCUGAAAUGGAUUAAAGAUUUAUCGGUGAUGGAUGGGGAUGCGUCUGAUUAGCUUGUUGGCGGGGUAACGGCCCACCAAGGCGACGAUCAGUAGGGGUUCUGAGAGGAAGGUCCCCCACAUUGGAACUGAGGCACGGUCCAAACUCCUACGGGAGGCAGCAGUGAGGAAUAUUGGUCAAUGGACGAGGGUCUGAACCAGCCAAGUAGCGUGCAGGAUGACGGCCCUAUGGGUUGUAAACUGCUUUCAUAAGGGAAUAAAGUGGGAGUCGUGACUCCUUUUGCAUGUACCUUAUGAAUAAGGACCGGCUAAUUCCGUGCCAGCAGCCGCGGUAA
rnacentral:rRNA from 1 species